rnacentral:rRNA from 1 species
GUGCCAGCAGCCGCGGUAAUACGUAGGUGGCAAGCGUUGUCCGGAUUUAUUGGGCGUAAAGCGAGCGCAGGUGGUUUCUUAAGUCUGAUGUGAAAGCCCCCGGCUUAACCGGGGAGGGUCAUUGGAAACUGGGAGACUUGAGUGCAGAAGAGGAGAGUGGAAUUCCAUGUGUAGCGGUGAAAUGCGUAGAUAUAUGGAGGAACACCAGUGGCGAAGGCGACUCUCUGGUCUGUAACUGACACUGAGGCUCGAAAGCGUGGGGAGCCAACAGGAUUAGAUACCCUGGUAGUCC